rnacentral:hammerhead_ribozyme from 1 species
GUACUGCUGACGAGUCCCAAACAGGACGAAACGGCUGUCCAGUGC